CCGACAGCGACCCUAUUCCAUCAUUCUGGAGACCCACCUUACAACACCCCCUCCCCACCCUCCUUCAUGCAAAGGAAACUGCUGACAUCCUGCUUGACAGAGCAGUUUGUGGUUUUGUUUGUGUGUAUUUGAUUAGUGUUAGUCAGGUGACUCAGUCCCUAAGAACCCGACCUAGUUUUACGUGCACCAGAAAAGGUGUGCUCGAGCCACCAUGCCUCCCAAGGUUGUCCUUUUAGAUCUAGUUAAGGAUCUUGAGAUCACCCUGGAUUAUACAGGUGGGCCCUAUAUCCAAUGACAAAUAUUUUUAUAAGAGACACAUGGAGGAGAGGCGCACAGAGCAGAAGCCCAUGUAAAGAUGGAGAUGGAGAUGAGAGUGAUGCAGCCACAAGCCAAGGGACACCUGGCGCCACCAGAAGCUGGGAGAGGCAGG
rnacentral:lncRNA from 10 species